rnacentral:lncRNA from 10 species
GAAUGCGUUCCCAGCGGGUAGCCUGGGACUGGUGCAGAGUUCCAAGCCCACGGCCCCGGUCGCGGCCUCGCCGCCCUCCCGCGCCCCGCGCCGGGAGCGGGCCUAGAGCGCUCGCCUCGCCCCUCCGCGAGCAGGGCUCUGGCGCCCGCCCCUGUCCGCACCGCUGGCAGCCUGAAGAGAGUCGCUGGCCGUGGUCGCCGCUAGGUAGGAUAUAUCUGCAUCUUGAAAGGAAGAUAAAACAAAAGCCUUCUUUGGAAUAGAUGGAUUUUUGUCACUUUCUGUGUGAACUAAAGUGAUUCAAUGUCUCUUUUGGAAGCCAUUAGAAACUCUGCAGAGGAAUCAGUUGUACAGCUAUCUUGACAUUGUUAGCGUCUAUUCUUCAGGGAUUGCUUCUGCACUUCAAGAACACAAGUUGAAUCACUCA